rnacentral:lncRNA from 1 species
CUCGUUCGAAAUCCCUCUCUUCGUUCUUCUUCUCACCGUCACCACACUAUUCAAGCUUGCACUAAGAUCGUCAUUCUUCUUCUCACCAUCACCUUGCUCCACCGCUCAAGCCCCGACCCCCGACCCUCAAUGAAAGCAAAAGAAACAUGAAAAGUACCCAAAAAAGGUAAGAAAGUUUCAUUAGAGAAAAAAAAAUGGAUUUCUUUUGUCCCUUUGGUGUAAGUAUAUAACAUAGUCUUUACUGAACUUCUCUUUCCCUCAACUAUUUUACGAAAUGAAAUCUUGAAAUAUGCCAUUAACAACAUAAAAGAAGAAUGGUUAAAAUCUCUUGUUGACACCACACCUCAUUGACCAAAGUUCAAAUCCUCUCCCUCAAUUUGUAUAAAAAAAAUCUUCAAAUGUGUCAAUUAGUCGGUACAAAAUCUUUAGUUGCCAUUCACUUCUGCGAUUUCCUUAACAAAAGAGAGAAGCUAUUGGAAUUUUCAGAUCCUGAAAACCAAAGAUUAUUCAAGCUCAUUAAAGUUUAGGUAUCAAUUAAAUAAAAAGAAGAAGAAAAUUCGAUUCUAACUAAUAAACAAAAGUUACAAACUUCGGUAGUUAAAAUAUACAUUAACCCUUUUAUCUAUAUGAUAUAUUAACAAGUUUAAAGACUACAAAUUAAGGGUAAUGAGUCCUUGACUUAGGUUGCAUUUGAAAACUACAUUUUAACCUAAAAACGCUAUAUAAAUCAUAAAUAGAAAGGUAUUGAAGUGUUUUUCAAACUAUGGGAAACGUAAAACUUCUAGUUUUUGGAUUUUGAGAAAUUACUUUGAGUUAAAUUAUCUAUUUGUCAUCAAUUAUUAUCACAAAAUGUAAAUUCAUUUCAAUUUCCUUUUUGAAUUUUUUAAAGAUAUAAAAACUUUUCUCUAAAACUUGUCAUUUCAAUUAUUAUCACAGAUAAUGAUGCUUGUCGAUCGCUGAAACUCCACUGGUCACUAAUAUUUUUUCUUAGAAAGUGGGUAGCUCUUCGUUAGCUUCUUAAUUUGUUUCUAUUUUGAGAAUAUUUCAGAAUAAUAAAUGAUUUCACAAGUCGAUUUGGAUCUGUGUUGCCUUAAGUUUUAUAUGUUUUUUUUAUUUGUUUUUCCAUUGUUUAUUAAGUCUUCAGUUUUAGAAGUUUUUGUUUACUCUUGUAGCACAGUUUUUAGCCUUGUUUAUAUAUGUAAUCUUAAUUUUACAAGUGAUUUUAGGGAUGAUUUUGUUGUAGUCCUCUAUAGUUUGGUGAAUGCUCGAUUAUUUUGUCGAUUGUUGCUCGCCGCUUUGGACCAUUCGGGGUUGAUUUCCUUAUCAUGUUAAGUACUUGCAAUCACUCCAGAUAUGUCAUGCUUGAAUUGUGCAAAGCCAAUUAUCAACGUGUUAUAAUGUUCUAUUGAUGCUGAGGCUAAAGCCUUUGUUGUGUUGUUAGAGCUUAUCCUUCAUCAUCUACAACGAGUGUUUGUUAUUUUUUCCCCUGGAUUGGAUGGUUCCAUUCAUUGAAUGAAUUAAUGAAUUCACCUUUCAAAUAUAUAUAUAGUAGGCUUAUUUUUUUAUGUAAUUUUAAUAUCUAAAAUAUGGUUUAUAUAUUUAAAUUAAAAUUUACAAAUAAUUUAUAUUAGUUGCUUAAAAUAUUUAAAAUUUAUAUUCCAUAUAUCAAAAUAUUAAUAAUGAAUUACAAUAAAAUAUGUGUCGAAACCGUUUUUUUGAAAACAAAAAUUUAGUUGUCGACUUUAAAAAAAAUAAAACUGGAGUCGCCACCGAUCCUUUAUUGUGACCGGCCCACCUUAAAAAUUAUUUUGGUCUGCGAAUUUUGAAAACAGGUUCGGGAGUCAGUUACGCACGAGGAAGGGUUAGCACCCUCGUAACGCCCAAAAAUCGGUACCAAAUUGACUAUUUAAUGUCUUAGUGUCGAAAGUUAAAAAAGAUUUUAAAAUAAGUUUGGAUGAUGAAAUUUGCAAAAGGAUAACCAAUUGUUCAAGUCAUGGAAAGAAAUCGAGUCCCAAUACGUUAGGGUACAAUUCCUCAUAAUCCCCGAACUUUGGAUAUCUCUCUUAUUUUAUGAAAAUCUUCAUUUCGAGAAAGUAGCAUGCCACACCCAAUACGUUAGGGCACAACAAAUUAAGUUUCCAAAAAUGAUUUUUAUGCAUUUUGAAUAAAAACUAUUCUCGGUCAUUUAGGAUUGACGAAGAAAAUCGGAACCCAAUACGUUAGGGCUCAAUUUCCCUCGAAAAUCCCAAACUUCCAAAAAUACUUUUAUUCGAAAAACCUUUAAAUCAAGAAAAUAAUUUUGAUGAAUGGUAAAAUCAAAAUAUUAUAUUUUCAAAAAAAAAAAAACAGGCAUGUUAAAAAGUUAAUGUAUAACAUGGAACCGAAAUUUAAAAUUAAAUUAUACACGUAUAUAUACAUUUACAAAAUAUACGGAUAUAGGCACAUACAAAUAAAUUUAAAAGUACACAUGUGCAUGGGCUUAGCAUACAUAUAAGAAUACAUAAAAACACAUCAAUCCAAAAACCUAAUAAAAUGUAUGCAUGUAUUUGAAUAUUAUGAGAAUGGAAAGUUUGGAUAUAUACUUAUGCAUAAAACAAAAAUGUGCAAGUAUUCUAAAAUGUAUAUGCAUACAUAUAUAUAUGUUUGUAAAAAAUUUAUGAAGAAUAAUAUAUAAAAAUACGUAUAUACAUAUUUACAAUGGUAAAAAACAAAAUUGAAUCUAAAAUAUAAAGGUGUAUAUAAGUAUGUAUAUAUAUAUAGAAAAAUAAAGAUGUAUUUAGAGCCAUAUAGAUAUAUAUGAAUUAUUAAAUAUAUGGAAAAACAAAUGAAAAUAUGUACAUAAAAAGAGGUAUGUAUGUAGGUAUAUUUACAAAAAGCAGGAAAAAAAACUAAAGUAUAAAAAUGUUUAUAUAUGUAUAUAGAAGUUAUGAAAGAAAGUAGAAAUGAAACAUGCGAAUAAAAUAUAAUAUAUGUAUACUAUAAAAACGUACCUACAUAUAUAUAUAUAUAUAUAUUAAAAACUAUGCAUGUAUUCUAUAUAUAAAAGUAUAUAUAUAUUAUAUAAGAACCAUGCGAAUGAGUAUAGAAAUAAUAAUAGUAAUAAGCAAUAAUAAAUAAUACAAUAACAAUGGUAUUUAAAAAAGAAAAGAGAAAAAACGGACCAAAUUGAAUAAAAACUAAAAUAAAUGGGGCCAAUUUUAAUAAAAAUAAAAACAAAAAGAAGAAAGGGACCCAUUCGAAUGCGCGCGAAACAUGGGAGGGCCAAAAAUGCAAUUAUCCCGCAUUCCUCAAAACGCAGCGCAACAAUGGACUAAAUUGCAAUGAAAACCAAAUGCGCGGCCCAAUUUUUAAAAAAAAAGUAAAGAGGAUUCAAUCGAAACACGCUGCAAAAGGAAGGGCCAAUUCCGCAAAUAGACCAUGUGACGUCAGAGCGCGCGGAUCCUCCCCUUCGGGUCGGGUCACCGCGCGGGUCUGCCUUAAUGAAAACAGCGUCGUUUUGAUUGUUAAUUAAAACAAAUUUUCCCUUUCAAAAUCAUUUGAAACUGAAUGAAAAGAGGGAAAAAAAAAACUAUGCUUCUGGUACUCUGCUAGGGUUUCACCCCUAGCGUCCUCGCGCCGCCCCUCCGGCGAUUCGGACGAUCCGAAGUCCGACACCGAUUCCGACGACUCAGGUAAGUUUUCUUUUUCUUUUUCUUUUUCUCUGCUAUUUUAAAUGAAAACAAAAUGAAAAAUAAAAGAAAAUAAAAAAAUAAAACAAUAGACCCUCUUAACAAAAAAAAGUAAUCACCUUUAAAAACAAGUUUACUGCUUUUUUAUUCCUGAUUCCCUAUCAAAAGAUCCGUCCUUUACAGAUUAAAAUAUAGCCUUUUAUAGGCCGAAAGAAAAAACAAAAAUAAAAUUAUUUGCUUGUUUUUUCCCCUUCGGACUCUUUAAGUCCGCGUUUGCAGGUACGUGGAAAGUCUGGCAUGCGUGGAGGCCGAGACUUGCGGCGUCCGGAUGCUGCUGGAGGCGCAAAAGGCA